GAUGAAGAACGUAGCGAAAUGCGAUAAGUAAUGCGAAUUGCAGAAUUCAGUGAAUCAUCGAAUCUUUGAACGCACAUUGCGCCCCUUGGUAUUCCGGGGGGCAUGCCUGUUCGAGCGUCAUUUCAACCCCUCAAGCUCGGCUUGGUGUUGGGCUGCGCCAGCGUUGCUGGCGGGCCUUAAAAUCAGUGGCGGUGCCGUUUGGGCUCCAAGCGUAGUAGCAUCUCUCGCUCUGGAGACCCGGCGGUUGCUUGCCAGACAAUCACCAAAAAAACAAAGGUUUGACCUCGGAUCAGGUAGGGAUACCCGCUGAACUUAAGCAUAUCAAUAAGCGGAGGA
rnacentral:misc_RNA from 1 species